UGGGCAAUGGGCGAAAGCCUGACCCAGCAACGCCGCGUGAGGGAUGAAGUAUUUCGGUAUGUAAACCUCGAAAGAAUGGGAAGAAUAAAUGACGGUACCAUUUAUAAGCUCCGGCUAACUACGUGCCAGCAGCCGCGGUAAUACGUAGGGAGCAAGCGUUGUUCGGAUUUACUGGGCGUAAAGGGCGCGUAGGCGGCGCGGUAAGUCACUUGUGAAAUCUCUGAGCUUAACUCAGAACGGCCAAGUGAUACUGCUGCGCUAGAGUUCUGAAGAGGCAACCGGAAUGCUUGGUGUAACAGUGAAAUGCGUAGAUAUCAAGAGGAACGCCUGAGGCGAAGGCGGGUUGCUGGGCCGACACUGACGCUGAUGCGCGAAAGCCAGGGGAGCAAACG
rnacentral:rRNA from 1 species